rnacentral:rRNA from 1 species
GAUGAACGCUGGCGGCGUGCCUAAUACAUGCAAGUCGAGCGAACAGACGAGAGUGCUUGCACUCUCUGACGUUAGCGGCGGACGGGUGAGUAACACGUGUGUAACCUACCUAUAAGACUGGUAUAACUUCGGGAAACCGGAGCUAAUACCGGAUAAUAUUUAGCUUCGCAUGUAGCAAUAGUGAAAGACGGUUCUUCUGUCACUUAUAGAUAUACCCGCGGUGUAUUAGCUAGUUGGUGAGGUAACGGCUCACCAAGGCAACGAUACAUAGCCGACCUGAGAGGGUGAUCGGCCACACUGGGACUGAGACACGGCCCAGACUCCUACGGGAGGCAGCAGUAGGGAAUCUUCCGCAAUGGACGAAAGUCUGACGGAGCAAUGCCGCGUGAGUGAAGAAGGUUUUCGGAUCGUAAAACUCUGUUGUAAGGGAAGAACAAGUACGUUAGUAACUGAACGUACCUUGACGGUACCUUACCAGAAAGCCACGGCUAACUACGUG